rnacentral:rRNA from 1 species
UACAGAGGGUGCGAGCGUUGUUCGGAAUUACUGGGCGUAAAGGGCGUGUAGGCGGUUCGUUAAGUCUGGCGUGAAAGCUCUCGGCUAAACCGGGAGAGGUCGUUGGAUACUGGCGAACUAGAGGAUGGUAGAGGCGUGUGGAAUUCCGGGUGUAGUGGUGAAAUGCGUAGAGAUCCGGAGGAACACCAGUGGCGAAGGCGACACGCUGGGCCAUACCUGACGCUAAAGCGCGACAGCAUGGGGAGCAAACGGG